UCCGUGUUAACCACGGCAGUCUCCUUAGAGAGCCCAACUGAAUGCUGGCAACUAAGGACAAGGGUUGCGCUCGUUGCGGGACUUAACCCAACAUGUCACCACACGAGCUGACGACAGCCAUGCAGCACCUGUCACCUCGCUUACUUGCGUAAGAAAAUGUAUCUCUACAUCGGUCGAGGGAUGUCAAACCCAGGUAAGGUUCUUCGCGUUGCUUCGAAUUAAACCACAUGAUCCACCGCUUGUGCGGGCCCCCGUCAAUUCCUUUGAGUUUUAGUCUUGCGACCGUACUUCCCAGGCGGGGUACUUAGUGCGUUAGCUCCGGCUCAGCAGGGGUCAAGACCCGCCAAGCCUAGUACCCAUCGUUUACGGCGUGGACUAC
rnacentral:misc_RNA from 1 species